rnacentral:tRNA from 1 species
GCAUCUACAAGCUUUUCAGUAGAGCAUGAGACUCUUAAUCUCAGGGUCGUGGGUUCAUGCCCCACGUUGGGCA